GUGCCAGCCGCUGCGGUAAUACGUAGGUGGCAAGCGUUGUCCGGAUUUAUUGGGCGUAAAGGGAACGCAGGCGGUCUUUAAGUCUGAUGUGAAAGCCUUCGGCUUAACCGAAGUCGGGCAUUGGAAACUGGGAGACUUGAGUGCAGAAGAGGAGAGUGGAACUCCAUGUGUAGCGGUGAAAUGCGUAGAUAUAUGGAAGAACACCAGUGGCGAAAGCGGCUCUCUGGUCUGUAACUGACGCUGAGGUUCGAAAGCGUGGGUAGCAAACAGGAUUAGAUACCCUGGUAGUCCACGCCGUAAACGAUGAAUGCUAAGUGUUGGGAGGGUUUCCGCCCUUCAGUGCCGCAGCUAACGCAUUAAGCAUUCCGCCUGGGGAGUACGAUCGCAAGAUUGAAACUCAAAGGAAUUGACGGGGCCCGCACAAGCGGUGGAGCAUGUGGUUAAUUCGAAGCAACGCGAAGAACCUUACAGGUCUUGACAUCUUUUGCUAACCUGAGAGAUCAGGUGUUCCCUU
rnacentral:rRNA from 1 species